AGAGCCAAUCCGUCUCUGUUGCAAUAGAGUGGAACAAUUUUUAAGUAGAGGUGAUAAACCUAUCGAACUUAGUGAUAGCUGGUUUUUUAAGAAAAGAAUUUUAGUUCUGCCCUAAACCUUAUAUUACCACAAUAAUUAAAUUAGAUUUAGGAGUUAUUCAAAUAAGGAACAGCUUAUUUGAAAAAGGAUACAACCUACAAUAUAGGGUAAGAUAAAUUAAAUUUUAAUAAGUAGGCCUAAAAGCAGCCACCUUUUAAAAAGCGUCAAAGCUUAAUAAUAAAAAAUAUUCAAUGACCCAAAAAACUUCUAACCCAUAAUUUCUAUUAAAAAAUUCCAUAAUAUUAUGGAAGCUACUAUGCUAGAAUAAGUAAUAAGAAUUAGACUUUCUCCAAAAAUGUAAGCUUAAGCCAUAACAGACAAACUACUGGCAAUUAAAGUUUAUGAAUUAAUUAUAGUAACAUUAACAAGAAAAUAGUAUAUUUAUAAACGUUAAC
rnacentral:rRNA from 1 species